rnacentral:rRNA from 1 species
CGAACGCUGGCGGCGUGCUUUAUACAUGCAAGUCGAGCGAGAACGUGACCUUCGGGUCGCUAGUAAAGCGGCAGACGGGUGAGUAACACGUGGGUAAUCUACCCUCAGGUUUGGGAUAACGGCUCGAAAGGGCCGCUAAUACCAAAAAGAUUUGCUAGGUUUUCGGACCAAGCGAAGGAAGGAGGCCUCUCAAAGAAGCUUUCGCCCGAGGAUGAGCCCGCGGUCCAUUAGCUUGUUGGUGAGGUAACGGCUCACCAAGGCUACGAUGGAUAGCUGGUCUGAGAGGAUGAUCAGCCACACUGGGACUGAGACACGGCCCAGACUCCUACGGGAGGCAGCAGUAGGGAAUAUUGCGCAAUGGACGAAAGUCUGACGCAGCAACGCCGCGUGGGUGAUGAAGGUUUUCGGAUCGUAAAGCCCUGUCAGGGGGAAAGAACAUGCUCGGGGAACAAUACCCCCGGGAUCUGACGGUACCCCCAAAGGAAGCACCGGCUAACUCC